AUCUGGUGCCAGCAGCCGCGGUAAUUCCAGCUCCAAUAGCGUAUAUUAAAGUUGUUGCGGUUAAAAAGCUCGUAGUCUGAGGUCUGUUGGGGACUGGCUGGGGAGGUCACCGCCCGGUGCUUGCCCGUCAGGUUCCGAACAGCUUCUGCCGCGAGCGGAAGCCAAGCCGGUUCUGCCGGGGUGCUCUUGACCGAGUGUCCCGCGCGGCCGGCCGGUUCACCUUGAACAAAUGAGAGUGCUCAAAGCAGGCUACUCUUAAAACUAAAGCCUGAAUGUUAACUGCAUGGAAUGAUGGAAGAUGAUCUCGGUUCCAUUUUGCUGGUGCUGGGAAUCCGAGUUAAUGAUAAACAGGGACUGUCGGGGGCAUCCGUACUACGACGCGAGAGGUGAAAUUCAGUGACCGUCGUAGGACGAACAACAGCGAAAGCAUUUGCCAAGAAUGUCUUCGUUGAUCAAGAACGAAAGUUAGAGGAUCGAAGGCGAUCAGAUACCGCCCUAGUUCUAACCCUAAACGAUGCUGACUAGCAAUUCGCCGUCGUUAUUCCCAUGACGUGGCGAGACGCCCCCGGGAAACCUCAAGUCUUUGAGUUCCGGGGGUAGUAUGGUUGCAAAACUGAAACUUAAAGGAAUUGACGGAAGGGCACCACCAGGAGUGGAGCCUGCGGCUUAAUUUGACUCAACACGGGAAACCUCACCAGGCCCGGACACCAGAAGGAUUGACAGAUUAAGAGCUCUUUCUCGAUUUGGUGGGUGGUGGUGCAUGGCCGUUCUUAGUUGGUGGAGUGAUUUGUCUGGUUAAUUCCGGUAACGAACGAGACUCUGGCCUACUAACUAGUGGAUGGGUAACUUUAUAAUGGAGCCCAUCCGAUAAUGUCUUCUAGAGGGAUGAGCAGCGA
rnacentral:rRNA from 1 species